UAACACAUGCAAGUCGAACGCAACCUUCGGGUUGAGUGGCGGACGGGUGAGUAACGCGUGAGAAUCUGCCUUGGGGUCGGGGACAACCACUGGAAACGGUGGCUAAUACCGGAUACGCCUUCGGGUAAAAGAUUUAUUGCCCUAAGAGGAGCUCGCGUCUGAUUAGCUAGUUGGUGAGGUAAGAGCUCACCAAGGCAGCGAUCAGUAGCUGGUCUGAGAGGACGAUCAGCCACACUGGGACUGAGACACGGCCCAGACUCCUACGGGAGGCAGCAGUGGGGAAUUUUCCGCAAUGGGCGAAAGCCUGACGGAGCAAGACCGCGUGAGGGAGGAAGGCUCUUGGGUUGUAAACCUCUUUUCUCAGGGAAGAAGCUCUGACGGUACCUGAGGAAUCAGCCUCGGCUAACUCCGUGCCAGCAGCCGCGGUAAUACGGAGGAGGCAAGCGUUAUCCGGAAUUAUUGGGCGUAAAGCGUCCGCAGGUGGCAAUUCAAGUCUGCUGUCAAAGCACGGGGCUUAACUCCGUAAAGGCAGUGGAAACUGAAUAGCUAGAGUGCCGUAGGGGUAGAGGGAAUUCCCGGUGUAGCGGUGAAAUGCGUAGAGAUCGGGAAGAACAUCGGUGGCGAAAGCGCUCUACUGGACGGCAACUGACACUCAGGGACGAAAGCUAGGGGAGCGAAUGGGAUUAGAUACCCCAGUAGUCCUAGCUGUAAACGAUGGAUACUA
rnacentral:rRNA from 1 species